AUGGCUGUCGUCAGCUCGUGUCGUGAGAUGUUGGGUUAAGUCCCGCAACGAGCGCAACCCUCGUUCUAUGUUGCCAGCACGUGAUGGUGGGGACUCAUAGGAGACUGCCGGGGUCAACUCGGAGGAAGGUGGGGAUGACGUCAAAUCAUCAUGCCCCUUAUGUCUUGGGCUUCACGCAUGCUACAAUGGCCAGUACAAAGGGCUGCGAUACCGCAAGGUGGAGCGAAUCCCAAAAAACUGGUCUCAGUUCGGAUUGGGGUCUGCAACUCGACCCCAUGAAGUCGGAGUCGCUAGUAAUCGCAGAUCAGCAACGCUGCGGUGAAUACGUUCCCGGGCCUUGUACACACCGCCCGUCAAGUCACGAAAGUCGGUAACACCCGAAGCCGGUGGCCCAACUCGCGAGAGGGGGAGCCGUCGAAGGUGGGACUGGCGAUUGGGACUAAGUCGUAACAAGGUAGCCGUACCGGAAGGUGCGGCUGGAUCACCUCCUUUCUAAGGAGCACUGGCGCCUCGAGCUUGCCGCCGAUCGUGGUGGGGGUUCGGUUAUGGGUGUCCAGGUAGCCCUUUCACAGCCGUCUGUGUUGUGGGGGUUGCUCAUGGGUGGAUCAUCGGUUAUUUGGCAUCGCGCAUGCCGGUUUGUCUGCUAGUACAGGUUCGACCCUUGGGUUGGGCGUUGGAACGUGGGUGGGGUGGGGUGGGUGGUGUCUGGCACGUUGUUGGGUCCUGAAGGCUCGGGCGCAAGCUCUGGUGCUUUCUGUUCGGGCCUCACCUGUUGUCCGUACCGCGAGUGUCCCUUUUGGGGGGCCGGCGGCGGGUGCGUGUGGUGGGGUUCCGCCCGUAUGUUGAGAACUACACAGUGGACGCGAGCAUCUUUGUGAGUCAAGUUUUUAAGGGCGCACGGUGGAUGCCUCGGUACCAGGAACCGAAGAAGGACGUAGGAAUCUGCGAUAAGCCACGGGGAGUCGAUAACCAGACUGUGAUCCGUGGAUUUCCGAAUGGGGAAACCCGG
rnacentral:sRNA from 1 species